GAUGAACGCUGGCGGCGUGCCUAAUACAUGCAAGUCGAGCGAACGGACGAGAAGCUUGCUUCUCUGAUGUUAGCGGCGGACGGGUGAGUAACACGUGGAUAACCUACCUAUAAGACUGGGAUAACUUCGGGAAACCGGAGCUAAUACCGGAUAAUAUUUUGAACCGCAUGGUUCAAAAGUAAAAGACGGUCUUGCUGUCACUUAUAGAUGGAUCCGCGCUGCAUUAGCUAGUUGGUAAGGUAACGGCUUACCAAGGCAACGAUGCAUAGCCGACCUGAGAGGGUGAUCAGCCACACUGGAACUGAGACACGGUCCAGACUCCUACGGGAGGCAGCAGUAGGGAAUCUUCCGCAAUGGGCGAAAGCCUGACGGAGCAACGCCGCGUGAGUGAUGAAGGUCUUCGGAUUGUAAAACUCUGUUAUUAGGGAAGAACAUAUGUGUAAGUAACUGUGCACAUCUUGACGGUACCUAAUCAGAAAGCCACGGCUAACUACGUG
rnacentral:rRNA from 1 species